rnacentral:lncRNA from 1 species
CAUAUCAUCAAUUUUCAUAGUGUUCCACAAAGUCUACUGGGCUAAGGCUGAUGACCGUAACUCGAUUCACGGUCAUCCCAAGAAGGCGGAUGAAAAAUUCGGUCAGUAUCUGUAUUGUCUGUUAAAGUAUUUCUAUAUAAUUUUUAUUACAAAGGAUAUUGGUACGAUAUAAAAAAAUUCACACGGAAAACACAAAUUACUACGGAGAAAUUUGCAUGAAACUGGAAAUUCGAUUUAAAAAAAAACCUAAGAUGACCGUAAUUUAUAAAGGAUGACAGUAACUUUUAAAGGAUGACCGUCAAUUAUUAAAAAAAAUCGGAUUUGAAUUAGUAGCUUGUUUGUAUCAAAUAAUUAAUCAUGUUGGUAUUAAAGUUGUUUAUAAGAGAGUGUUAUCCUAUAGGUAGAAGAAAAUAAGACGUGCUUCAAAUACAGAAAUCCCCAUAUUUGUUUUUUUUUUAUGGUAGAGGAUAUAAUUUUUGAAAUGAACAUACAACAAGACAUGCAUAUGAACAAAUGAUGAAAUCAUGCAACCAAAGCGCGAUUGAAUGAAACCUUGCAAGCAAAAUGAAAAAUGUGGUGCACAUCCUCCUACUACAAGCCAAAAGUUUUUUUUUUAAUUCUGGGAUUCCUUUAAAAAGACAUAUAAUAAAUACACCUUUUUAAAAAUGCCAAUGCAUGUACAUAUUCUAUCGUUUCAGAUACCAUUGCAAAUCUUCAAAAAAAAAGUACAUGUGUUAUCAUUAUACCACCUGCAAAUUUACAUCAUCGAAUGUAGACAGAAUUUUGAUACACACUAUAGACAAUCAUGUUAAAUUUAGAAAGAAAGUUUUGAAUGAAAACGCUGGUCAUUCUGCCUAUUGGUCCGUACAUUUCGGAGUUAAAGUAACAAAACUUAAAGUGAUGGGUAAUUGAUUGCAUCUGUUUAAAAUCAGGAAUUUGAUGUUGAGUGGUUGUCGUCUGUUCAUAAGUGUUUCUUGUUUCUCGUUUUUUUUUUUAUAGAUUAGACCGUUGGUUUUCCCGUUUGAAUGGUUUUACACUAGUAUUUUUUGGGGGGACCUUUAUCGCUGCUGUUCGGUGUGAGUAAAGGCUCCAUGUUGAAGGCCGUACCUUGACCUAUAAUGGUUUACUUUUAUAAAUUAUUACUUGGAUGGAGAGUUGUCUCAUUGGCUUUCUUACCUCACUAGAACACACCCGCACAAUCGCGGGCAUAUACAGCUUGUAAACUGUUAUAGGUUUAAUUUUUGUACAAGAUAUUAUGACUGGAGAAUUUCAUAUAAGGUAUCAAAAGCCCUCUCUCUUUUUUCUAAAGUCCCUUAUGUGUUUCCUUUCUGUUAAAUUCAAUUAUUUUUCGUGUUUCUGGCCUUAUACCACAAUUAUUCUUCCCCUUUGCUACAAUGCAUUUUUGGUUAAAAGUCAAAUUAAAUGAAAAUUUGCACCACUUCAAACAUGAAAUAAAUGAAACUGCUUAUAGACCAUUAUUAUUCUACUUAAAUGUGCUUGUAGGACAAUCCAUCAGUGCCUUUUCUUUAGAGAGCUCUAUUAACAGACCAAGGGUAGGAUUUGAUUCUCGUAUAAAUGACUAUGGCUCAUUUGAGGGGUGGUCUGAGGGGCCCUGAUCCCCAAAUCACGGGAUUAAAAACAUGAAAUCCCACAGUGCGUAUUUUAACCAAAUUCAUAUCCCGACUGUCCGGCUUCAGGUUAAAGUUUUCACUUUCAACAAUAAUUUUUUAUGCCCAAUAUAUGGGAAUUAUGUUUUCUAGUCUGUUCGUCCGUUCGUUCGUUCGUCCGUCCGUCUGUUCCGCUUCAGGUCAAAGUUUUUGUCAAGGUAGUUUAUGAUGAAGUUGAAGUCCAACGAACUCGAAACUUAGUAAAUAUGUUCCCUAUGAUAUAAUUUUAAUGCCAAAUUAGAGAUUUUACCCAAUUUCACGGUCCGCUAAACAUAGUAAAUGAUAGUGCCGAUGUGGCAUCCAUAUACUAUGGACACAUUUUUCCACGUGUUUUACUUAUUUCAAUAUAUAUGCAACUGGUAUGACCCUUUAGAUAGUAAAUACUUCAGAAAAAAGUAGACAAAAUACAGAGAGUCUCACGGUAUAUUAUUGUAGUAUAAUCGUAGUUUACAUGUGGAUAAACCAGAAAACAUAAUUGUCUCUAAGGAGGUAUAAUAGUUGUGGCUCUUGCGAUCUAAAAACCAUGAUAUGGAGAACGCUCUGAUUGGCUUAUUUAUUUUUCAUUUUUGUAAUCUAUCAUACAAUUGGUUGUUCAUGUGCAUGUUUAAAACAGGAAGUCUUAUCUAUGACUAAAAGUAAGUCUGAUAACGGAAAUAAUAUCUGAACACCUAUUUUGUCGUUUUUCUCCCAAAAUGGCUCAAUCUGAAAAAUCAUAAGAAUUGAUGACAAAUGCGCGCGGUUAUGCAUGUUCCCGAAAGAACACAGACGCAUGAUGAUUAAUUUAGUGUGGAAGAAGAGAAGCGACACACAAAAUGAGGUCUUCUCCUUUAAUUCAUACCACAUAUUCCUAUAUCUAAUUAGGAGAUGCUAAAAGCCAAAUAUAAAUUUUGGAAGAACAAACUGUCAUUCAAAAGAUGUUAUCCCCUUUGAAAGUCAGUUACGAUUAUGUGGAAGGAGGGCGUCAAAGGGAAUUAAACAGUGAACUUAAUAAACUGUUGCCAAAUAUUGAAGCAAAACCUAAAGAGAUAGGGAGAUACAAAGACUUCAUUUCCGUAUUGAAACCCAUAUCUAACGGAAUAUCAACUGAAAUAUUGCUUUUCGUUAUAUCACUGUCAAUUUGUAUUACACAUUUAACGUCGUUAUCAAUACAUAUUCCAUUGUUCACGAGAAAUAUGCAAUCUACUAUCAUUGUCAUGAUACGGCAAAUAGUUAAAUAAAGGAAUUGAUAAAAUAUAUUUAUAUCCGCUUGCCGAGCCCGUAUUAAGACAAACUCAAUAAAAAGCUAUGAAUACAAUCACGGAUGUGUUUUAGACUUGACGGCUAUCCUUUAUAAAUUACAGUCAUCCUUUACGGUCAUCUUUUUACCAAUCACGGUCAUCCUUGUUAUAUGUUACGGUCAUCUUGAAAAUAUUUUGAUGAUGAUUUACGGUCAUCUAAGCGAUUUUUUCAAAUCGAAUUUCCCGUUUCAUGCACAUUUCUCGGUAGUAAUUGGUGAUUUCCGUGUGAAUCUUUUAUAAAUUUACAUCUUAUCAAUGUAUGCUUUGUAAAGAAAAUGAUAUAGAAACACUUUAACAGACAAUACAGAAACUGACCUAAUUUUUCAUCAUAAUAUAACAAUGGCCAUUUUUCUGACUUGGUACAGGGCAUUUUAAGAAAAAAUAUAACAUUAAAGUUGUCGAGUACACAUAUUGGCUCUUGUCACGUGAAUAAGAUUAACGGUACCAAUUUUCUUGCACCAGAUGCGCAUUUCGACAAUACAUGUCUCUUCAGUGAUGCUCGUUGCCAAAUUAUUUGAAAUCCAAAGCUUAUAUAAAAGAUGAAGAGCUAUAAUCCAAAAGGUCCAAAAAGUAUAGCCAAAUCCGUGAAAGGAAUCAAGCUUUGCACACGAGGAGAUACAUCCGUUAAUUUAUAAUAAUUUCUAUCAUUUUUGUUACAGCAAAUUUUAAUAACAAACAAAUCCGUAUUGUUUCUAUUUUCAUGCCAGUACGGAGAGUACUGGCGAAUAUGGCUACUGGGCUGGUGAUACCCUCUGAACUUAUAUAUACAAAAUUAUUAUCUUUUGUGACUUUAAAUUUCUGUCUGUUGUAAAUACACAAACCAGACCUUUGUUUGUUUCGUUUUUCCAUUCCAGUCCUCUUUAAAGGUAUACGGUAUUCGUUGUCUCUUUGUUGAAGGUCAUACUGUGAUUUAUGGCCCUCUAAGAAUAAAUCUAAGAAGGGCGCAUACAACUAUUAAUCACCGGAACAUGAUUAAGCUGUGUAGUAUGAACUUUGUUUAUCAAUAUUCGUUACAAUUUAUUUUGAGAUAUUUAAAAUGUGAUUUUUUUUCUAAAUAGUGGAAACUAUGUGAACUGAAUAUUUUGUUAAUAGUGAACAAAAAGGUAAAACAUGAUAUACAGAGAAAAACGUGAUCAGUAUGCUAGAGUUUCUUGUUGACAACAUAUUUGUUGAAUUUUGAGGUAGACUUUUUCAACAAACUGUAGACAUUCCUAUGGGAACGAAAUGCCUCUCCUUUCUGACCUGUACUAGUUUUCAUAUGAAUCGGAGUUCCUUCAGACACUUGUCAAAAACAAGAAUAUGAAAGGAGCCAGGUCAAAUAAUUUCACAUUCAAAUAUAUUGAUAAUGAUCUGUAGUUAACAUUAUUGAUUGGGUUCAUUUAAUAUAUCCACAGACCUAGAUACUAAAGAAACAACAAACAUGGCCGCCCUGCCUCAUUUUUAGACUUAUACAUCGAAUUUGACAUUCACGCUCAUCGCAGUAUCAUAAUCUAUGACAAACAAGACGAUUUUAAUUCUGAAAUUAUCAAUUUCCAUUACCUUAGUAGCAAUAUACCAACUUCACCUACAUAUUGGAUAUACAUUUCCCAUUCUAUUUUGUAUUUAAGAGCUUGCUUCUCUUAGUCCGACUUUGUAAAACGUCACCAGUGUCUGAGUAGAAAAAAAAGGUUUAUCGGAAGGUACUCAGUUCUUGUUGAUAAAUAUUCCGUAUCAACUUCACACAAAAUACACGAUGGUCUUGAGAUAAAGAUUAUGCGUACUCACUACCGACGUUGUUAAAAUCUUAAUAACGUGUUAUAGUAUUCUUUUAUUUGUCUUUAUGAACAUACCUUUUACUGUUUGAUCUAUUUUUGGGGAUACCCUUUGACGUGACUCUGUUCUGACAUCCCGUCAUUGUGUUUCUUUAAUACACAUGAUGUGGCUCUGCCAAUUCUUGUCUUGCAUUUUUUCAAAAGUGCUUUGUCUAUAUGCCUUUUUUGUUUUUCUUUAAUACAUAUAACGUAUCUCUGUAUUUACACAUGCCGUCAUUGUGUAAUCGUGCUGUGGUAAUGUUUUGUAUUUUUGUCUUUUUGUUUGCUAAUGUUCGUUUUCUAUAUGCAUUUUUAUGUGACUUUGUUAUAAAUGCGUUUGUUUUAUAGUGAUUUAGAUAAUAAUACAAUCUUGACGGCUGUUCCUGUAUUUUUUUAAAACAUUUUUAACUAUUAUGUCUGUUUCAUUUGGUCACACAUUGAUGUCAAUAUAAUAUAAUAUGAUGCAACUGUCAUAAAAGUGAGAGAUUUAGCUAGCUAUCAAACCAGGUUUAAUCCACGAUUUUCUACAUAAGUAAAUGCAUGUUCAAAGUCAGGAAUAUGACAAUUGUUAUCAUUCGUUUGCUGUGUUUCAGCUUUUGAUUUAGCAAUUUGAUUAGGGACUUUCCGUUUUGAAUGUUCCUCGGAGUUCAGUAUUUUUGUGAUUUUACUUUUUUUUUAAAAGAUAAGAAUUAGAAAAAUAUAUCAUUUUAAGCAGUAUACAAUAUUUUGUUUUCUUUUUCAGAAAUUAAUGUGGUGAUAUAUAUGGAAAACUAAGAAACAAAAUGUCGAAAACCUUGUACAUAACCAUUAUUAGUUAUGUAAUCACUUCAUAUCAUGGUAUAAAUGCUUGCACUACUGCAAACUGCAUUUGUUCAGGAACAACUGUUAUUUGUAACAGGAGACAGUUAACGUCAGUACCAGAUGGUAUAGAAGCAAAUGCUACACGUCUG